AUGCAAUGAUGAGGACACCUUCUGAGCAGUUCUUUGAAUCUUUCCCAAGCCUCAUAAAAACUCUCAUCUUCAAGUUAAUGGAAAAAUUAAUCUCGUUCCGUAAUUU
rfam:Citrus clementina cultivar Clemenules unplaced genomic scaffold scaffold_7, whole genome shotgun sequence.